AUUAAUAAUUAAUAUAUUUAAUAAAAAUAAUUUUAAUUUAAUAAAUAUUUUAAUGGGGGUUAAAGUAUUUUUUAAAGAAAAAAUUUUUAAAUUUAUAGUUAAUUAGUAUUGUGAAAGAAUUUUGAAAUAUUAUGAAAAAUAAAAUUUUUAUAAAGUAAUUUUUAUUUAUUGUAUCUUGUGUAUCAGAGUUUAUUAAAAAUUUUUAAUUUAUAAAUUAAUUUCUCGAAUUUAAAAGAGUUAAAUAAUUAUUAAAGUUAUUGUAGCAAAAUUAUUUUAAAUAAUUAUUUAGAAAUGAAAUGUUAAUCGUUUUUAAAUAUAUCUAGUUUUUAUAGAAAAAAAUUUAAUUUUAAAUUUAAAUAUUAUUUAAUUAAUUUAUUAAUUAAAUAAUUACUUAAAUUUUAUAAUUUAAGGGAUAAGCUUUAAAUUAAAUUUUUAUAAUAUUAAAUUUUUAUUUUGAAAAUUUUAUAAUUUAUAUUGUUAAUAAAUUUUAUUUUGUUAUAAAUAAUUUCAUUUUUUUUAAAAUUUAAAUUUUAUUUAAUUUUUUAUAUAAAAUUUAUUUAUAAUUAUAUAAAGUUAAUUAUAAUGAUAAAAUUAGUAUAUUAUUUAAUAUUAAAUUAAAAUUAAUUUUUGAUUAAUAAUUAAAUUAAUUAAAAGGAAUUCGGCAAAUAUUUAUUUUCACUUGUUUAUCAAAAACAUGUCUUUUUGUUAUUUAAUUUAAAGUCUAAUCUGCCCACUGAUUUAUAAAAAUUGAAGGGCUGCAGUAUAUUGACUGUACAAAGGUAGCAUAAUCAUUAGUCUCUUAAUUGGUGACUUGUAUGAAAGAUUGGAUGAAAAAUAUACUGUCUCUUAAUUAAUAUAUAGAAUUUAAUUUUUUAUUUAAAAAGUUAAAAUAACUUAAAAAGACGAGAAGACCCUAUAGAGUUUAAUAAAUUAUUUUAUGAAAGUUUUAUUUAUAUUUAUUAAUAAUUUUAUAAAUUUAUUUAUUUUGUUGGGGUGAUAAAAAAAUAAAUUUAACUUUUUUUAAGUAAUUUACAUGAAUAAGUGAUUAAU
rnacentral:rRNA from 1 species